rnacentral:misc_RNA from 1 species
UCGUGGAGAAGGACGCCGAAGGUGGGGCUGAUGACUGGGGUGAAGUCGUAACAAGGUAGCCGUACCGGAAGGUGCGGCUGGAUCACCUCCUAACAGGGAGACAAUAAAUAGAUUGUGAUGUCUAAGUUAUUUAUUCUUAGGCCACAAUCCUGUCACCUUAAGGUCGAUCGGUACCUCAGAUUUUCGAAUUGGUUUUAUAAUUAAUUCUUUGAUUUCAGUUCCUAAACUUGUCUAGGUCACACCCAACAAAGGUUUCUCCUGGGCCAUUAGCUCAGGUGGUUAGAGCGCACCCCUGAUAAGGGUGAGGUCCCUGGUUCAAGUCCAGGAUGGCCCAUUCGUUGUUGGGGGUAUAGCUCAGUUGGUAGAGCGCCUGCUUUGCAAGCAGGAUGUCAGCGGUUCGAGUCCGCUUACCUCCACUGAAAACUAUCCUGAUAACUAAUUCCGGAGAAAAAAAUUUACGUGACUUAGGAUUGUCUAUUUGAAAGAACCUAGCUUCUUAUCAUCUUUUAGUAGUUGAUAACAUGCUGGGCUCGUAUGGAUUAAAUCCAUGCUAAUUCAGUAGAACCUUGAAAACUGCAUAGAUUAGAAAGAAUAAAGCAUCUCAUGGAUGCAUAAUUCUGUUUUUUUGUUUUUUAGCCUCAAAACUAAAUUACUAAAAUACAGAAUUCAUGUUUAAUUCUUGAGUAAAAGCCGAGCACAAUUGAUUUUGUGAUUGUAUUUAAGGUCAAGCUACAA